GGAUGAUCAGGAUUGGAACUCCGUGUCAACCCUGGGUACUGAAAUGGCUGAGGGAAGCCAAGUACCUCAAUCUGUUAUUUCCAUGCACAUUGCAAGGCAUCAUCUGCCUGAAUACGAAGGUGCUCAGCCAAGUGGAUCCGACUCAAUAAUGCCCAUUGCACCAAUGCUCAUAGGGCCUGGUUCUCGGCAAAGAAUGACUGAUAAUUCUGGGGUUUUUGCAUUUUAUCCCACCGGACCACCAGUUCCCUUUCUUACAAUGCUCCCAGUAUAUCCUGAUGCAUCAACCAGCCACUUUGGAAGAGAAGAAUGC
rnacentral:misc_RNA from 1 species